rnacentral:sRNA from 1 species
GUUCCGUGCUAACCUCCCUCAUGCGGCGGUGGCUGCCGGAACCCUAGCAGGUUUCAGCUGGAGCGGCAGCGGCGGCAACAUGGCAGAGACCGCGACCGGAGUGGGCCGCUUCAAGGCCAACUAUGCUGUGGAGCGCAAAAUUGAGCCUUUCUACAAGGGCGGAAAAGCACAGGUACCAGCCUGGGGAAGGGCAGGGGUCGGGCAGCCAGAGGCCACAGGGGGUGCCGAAUGUUGCCUGGCUGAGACCUCUCUGUCCCCAGCUGGACCAGACUGGCCAGCACCUCUUCUGCGUCUGUGGCACCAGAGUCAACAUUCUGGAAGUGGCUUCGGGGACCGUGCUGCGGAGUCUGGAGCAGGAGGACCAGGAGAGCAUCACUGCCUUUGACCUCAGCCCUGACGACGAGGUGCUGGUGACAGCCAGCCGGGCAUUGCUGCUGGCUCAGUGGGCCUGGCAAGAGGGCAGCGUUACCCGCCUGUGGAAGGCGAUACACACAGCCCCUGUGGCCACCAUGGCCUUCGACCCCACCUCCACUCUGCUAGCCACAGGUGGCUGUGAUGGGGCCGUGCGCGUCUGGGACAUCGUGCGGCACUACGGGACACACCACUUCCGAGGCUCGCCCGGUGUCGUGCAGUGAGUUGGAGGGUGGAGGGGGAGGGCAGAGGCACCGCCCAGGCUGCACAGCUCACCCAUCCUGUCCCGUCCGCCCGCAGCCUAGUGGCCUUCCACCCGGACCCUACACGCCUGCUGCUCUUCUCCUCAGCCACGGAUGCCGCCAUCCGCGUGUGGUCACUGCAGGACCGGUCAUGCCUGGCUGUGCUGACUGCCCACUACAGCGCCGUCACCUCAGUGGCCUUCAGCACCGACGGCCACACCAUGCUCAGCUCCGGCCGUGACAAGAUCUGUAUCAUCUGGGACCUUCAGAGCUGCCAGGCCGCGAGGACCGUGCCUGUGUUUGAGAGCGUGGAGGCUGCUGUGCUGUUGCCAGAGGAGCCGGUGUCCCAGCUGGGUGUGAAGUCCCCAGGCCUGUACUUUCUGACAGCUGGCGACCAAGGCACUCUGCGCGUGUGGGAGGCAGCUUCCGGGCAGUGUGUGUACACGCAGGCCCGGCCGCCGGGCCCUGGGCGGGAGCUGACCCACUGCACCCUGGCACGCACUGCCGGCCUGGUCCUCACCACCACCGCCGACCACAACCUGUUGCUCUAUGAGGCUCGCUCCCUACGGCUGCAGAAACAGUUUGCUGGCUACAGUGAGGAGGUUCUGGAUGUCCGGUUUCUUGGGCCCGAGGACUCCCACGUUGUCGUGGCCUCCAAUAGCCCCUGCCUGAAAGUGUUUGAGCUGCAGACGUCAGCCUGCCAGAUCCUCCAUGGCCACACGGAUAUCGUCCUGGCCCUGGAUGUGUUCCGGAAGGGGUGGCUCUUUGCCAGCUGUGCCAAGGAUCAGAGCGUCCGCAUCUGGAGAAUGAACAAGGCUGGCCAGGUGAUCUGCGUGGCUCAGGGUUCCGGUCACACACACAGCGUGGGCACUGUCUGCUGCUCUAGGCUGAAGGAGUCCUUCCUGGUAACAGGCAGCCAGGACUGCACUGUGAAGCUGUGGCCUCUUCCCAAAGCCUUGCUGUCCAAGAACACAGCCCCAGACAACGGCCCCAUCCUCCUGCAGGCCCGGACCACUCAGCGCUGCCAUGAUAAGGACAUCAACAGCGUGGCUAUUGCCCCCAAUGACAAGCUGCUGGCCACAGGCUCACAGGACCGCACGGCCAAGCUCUGGGCCCUGCCGCAGUGCCAGCUGCUGGGUGUCUUCUCAGGCCACCGGCGUGGCCUCUGGUGCGUCCAGUUCUCUCCCAUGGACCAGGUGCUGGCCACGGCCUCAGCUGACGGCACCAUCAAGCUCUGGGCACUCCAGGACUUCAGCUGUCUCAAGGUAAGCGGCGCUCCAGGCCCUCCCCACCUCCCGCCCUGGUGACAUCUCAUGCCCUACCCCCCACCUUGCAGACAUUUGAGGGGCACGAUGCUUCUGUGCUGAAAGUGGCCUUUGUGAGCCGUGGCACGCAGCUGCUGUCCAGCGGCUCGGAUGGCCUCGUGAAGCUCUGGACCAUCAAGAACAACGAGUGUGUGCGGACACUGGAUGCCCACGAGGACAAGGUCUGGGGGCUGCACUGCAGCCGGCUGGACGACCGCGCCCUCACUGGGGCCAGUGACUCCCGAGUCAUCCUCUGGAAGGUUGUGGGCCCCAAGGGCAGGGAAGAGUCGGGGUGGAGUGGAGGCCCCAUCUGACCCCAGUCUAACCCCAGGAUGUGACCGAGGCGGAGCAGGCAGAGGAGCAGGCCAGGCAAGAGGAACAGGUGGUCAGGCAGCAAGAGCUGGACAACCUGCUGCAUGAGAAGCGGUACCUGCGGGCGCUGGGCCUGGCCAUCUCCCUGGAUCGGCCCCACACCGUGCUGACUGUCAUCCAGGCCAUCCGGAGGGACCCUGAGGCCUGCGAGAAGCUGGAAGCCACCAUGCUCCGACUGCGGCGCGACCAGAAAGAGGCCCUGCUGCGCUUCUGCGUCACGUGGAACACCAACUCGCGGCACUGCCACGAGGCCCAGGCCGUGCUGGGUGUGCUCCUGCGGCGUGAGGCCCCCGAGGAGCUGCUGACCUACGAAGGCGUGCGGGCAGCGCUUGAGGCCCUGCUGCCCUACACUGGUAUGUGGGCACAGCCUGGGGUUGGGGGAUCCUAGUGGGCGUGUGGACCACCCCCCUAACCUCCCUCUGUCCAACCCCAGAGCGGCACUUUCAGCGGCUCAGCAGGACCCUCCAGGCCGCCACUUUCUUGGACUUCCUGUGGCACAACAUGAAGCUCCCUGUGCUGGCCACUGCCCCCACCCCCUGGGAAACCCAUAAAGGCGCUCUCCCCUA